AGCAUGCUUGCACAUUGAUAUACACACUCUGUUAAGUAGUGCUCAAGAACAGGAGGAAACGAGGCUUUAUAGCUGUCUGCCAUGUGCCUGCUAAAUGCUCAUAAAAUAAUCUAUUAUGAAAAUUAGCCAUAUUAUGGUAAGCUUAUAUACGUAGCAAGAGUUGUUAUUGGUCUCCAACAUCAGGCUUAUUAAGCAAUUUCAGUAGACAUCUGCAAUAGACAGGAUAGAUAAAAUUCUAAAAUAGAUCACAUAAAUUUUAAAAGAAUUUAAAUAUCAUUUGGCCGAGCUGAUUUUGGAAGCCGAAGACUGAAAGAGCCAGAAGCAGCAGAGAAAGGAGAGGACUUGAAACUACAAGGAAAAACAUCUAUUUCUCUUUCUGUGUUCCAGAAACAUCCAGAGGGCCUGGGAGAGCACACCCAAUGAAAACAUCUCCUACCAUGAGAGACCAGAAUCAAGCUUACUCUGAACACAUGACCACAGAGAGAAGACAUUUCUUUUGCUGGCCUAUCCGACAGCUAGAUGUGGAGACAGAAUGAGAUGCAGUGCACAUCGAGCUACG
rnacentral:lncRNA from 12 species